rnacentral:tRNA from 2 species
GCGGGUGUGGCGGAAUUGGUAGACGCGCUGGUUUUAGGUACCAGUGUCUUAUGACGUGGAAGUUCGAGUCUUCUCACCCGCACCA